AUUAAUAGUAGAGAUAUUAUUCAAAAUGAAAUUUUUAUUUGAAAAAUCUAUGGCGAAAUGGCACUACCAUGUCACUCAGGCCAGAGAUAAAACUUAUGGUUCAGUCUGUGUCCUCCUCCGGUGCCAUAGACUAAUAUACGUCUCCCGUCCAUAAAUUAGGGGCACUGCAAGUAAUAUACACUGCUAAGUCCAUGGAAGUUAUGGAUGAAGAGACAUACCAUCAGUCAUCAAGAACAUCAGUCUCUGGGAGUUCUACCACCUGGUGCUCAUCUCAAAUUGUCCCCUCAUUAUUUACGACUACCACCCAGGGUCCAGUUUCGCUCCCAGCAGUAAAGUUUCCAGCAGUAAUUCCUCCAGCCCAGUUAGAUCUAGAUACUAGUGGAUUAUGUAACUCAAGAUUUUCCAUUAUCCAACCUUCUAAACUCAACUCCAUUUCCUUUAAUAAUUUUCAUUCAAAUUCCAUUAGAUCUUCCGUGAUCCAACCUUCUAGAUUCCACGGUACCACAAGUCAGACGUGUUCUCUGUCUCAUAGCAGUGUUCUGUCAGAUUCUCAUAGGAGGAGGACCCCUAACAACUCUUCAGUUCCAACUCCAUUCGAUGAUACGCCAACAGAUUCCAUAAUUUCCACAGAGGAUCAAAUUAAUGCCUUUACAUUCAUUGGCACAUCAAAAAAUGAGAAUGUUGGGCCAAGGCUCUGUAGAAAGAAUGAACGUUAUCGGAAGGGCUUUGGCAAAAGGAAACAGAGGUAUAAUUCCUGGCAAAGAGGACUCGGACGGAAAAGGUAUCUUAAACAGCAAAAGCCAGUGCGUGUAAACACACUCUUAACUUCAGCCUCAAGUACAAAUCUGAAGGAUUCAAAGGUAUCGGAAGGUAAUGGUAGUAUGGAUUCAACUUCUCUACAAACUGCAUGAAUAUUUAAAGUUGGUUUCCCAUUUAACUUUUGAAGUUUAGGAUGGUUAAGGUACUAUUUUGUUAUCUAAUAUCAAAGAAAAGCUACUGAAAUGUUUUGAGAGGAUAUUUAUUUUUUUAGCUAACAAGAGGUAAUGUUCAGAUUUCAUAAGGGUUAGAAAAAUUACUCCUGUACGUGUCAUUUUAAUUUUUUACUGUAUAUGAUUUUACCAGAGAACUGAAGUGGUAUAGAACCUAUAUUAGAUCAGAAGGAUGCAUGAACUUGAAUGAAAGCUGGCGGUAUACUGUUCUUGGCUGCCAAAGGUGCCUUAUAUAUUGGGUGUUCUAAAAUGUUUGUACAGAUUGUUUUAGUUUGGUACAGGAGUCUUAUAUGCUCAAACAUUAUUAUUGGACUUAUUUGUUGUUUUAUGAGAUUUAUAUAUAUAUAUUAUGUUCCUUUAUUUUGUAUUCUGCAAGAUGAGGUCUCUGACUUCUUUUGGAACUUAAGGAUAAAUCAUUACUAGUUCUGAUAAAGGACUUCCUAAAAGGAACAAGGAAUGUCUGUGAAUGCAGUUUUUACCUUUUUUCUAGUUAUUUAUAGGUAUUAAAACCUUUUUUCAUGCUAUUUAAGUUAACUUCAUCCCAAUUGGUAGUUACUUUGGGUUCGGUCUUAACUGUUUUUUAAUCUUGACAUUACAUACAUACGUACACUUAUCUACACCUUCCACUGCAAAUGUUUUCUGUCAUGUAAGUCUAUUCUUAACUUUAAGUUUCUUACAGCCAUGUAAUUGAUUUCAUUAUUUGUCCAUUAAUUUUGAGCAUUUUCUCCCUCUAAUGUUAACUUCUACAUAUUUCUCAUUGAUCUACUUUAUUAAUAAUGUAUCUUAUAUAGUGUGUUCUUGUAGAUGUGAUUUCACUUCUUUAUCCAAGUUAACAUUGUUGUCCUAUUUAGGGUGUUGUGAUGAAACUGUUUCAGCUUUUUUUUUCUUUUUUUUAUUCCUGAAAUAUGUCUCUUGUUUGGCUGUUUUAACACUUGUUAAUCACCAUCCUGUACUUGUGAAUGCAAGUUCACUGAACAAAUCUCUCUUAAAAAUCAAAUUUAAAGGAAAAAUACUGUUAAGAGCCAGAUGCAUUUUGCCAUUUUUUGUGUGAAGAAAAAGAGAAAAGUUUGAAUGAAACCAGAAAAAAUUAUGGAAGAAACUGAACUUUAACUGACAUAAAAUCCAUUGUAAAUUUGUUAUUGUAUUUACUGUUAAGAAGUUCAAGUAUUAACCUUUUGAGAACUGUGAUGUUUGAAAAGCAUUCUGUUUUGGCAUAUUGACCUAGGAUGAUUUUCUUUUAUAACACUAAAAUUAUAUUUCUUGAUAAAAGUAAAAUUAUAUUUCUUGAUACAA